GACUGAUAAAUGCAGACACACAGCAGUAGGAUUGACAUCAACAGGUUCACUGCUGCUAAUCUGAGCAAUGAUCAUGAACCAGAUUAUUUUUAUAUUGCUGCUGUCAGUGGCCCUCACGAUUGGUACGUAUCGUGCUUUCAUUGUCAUACUAAGAAUUUCAUGCCAAGCUCUUUGUUCUGUUUGCUUUUAUUUAAUCAAAGUUGGCAGUGAUCAAUAGCCUGGUCAACGCGUAUAAAUGGAUUCACUUCCUUAGAGGCCACUUGCGUGUUUAAAUUAAAGGACUGCACAGCUGGACGAAGGAAGGGAGACUUGUAGAUGGUAAAGAGUCAUAACAAGUUAGCAAGUGUCCCAGUGAUUUAAAAUACGCUUUUAUCCAACCACAGAAAGCACAGUAAAUUUAGAAAAACACACUAAUAGACUACACAGGGUCCUAUAAGAUUUUCUAAACAUAUAUCAGUGGCAGGUGGUGGACUUUACCUGAUGCUCAUCGUGCAGGGCACUUAGUUCAAUCUUCAUUCAAUCUAAAAUCUUUUAAGAGAUCUAUGGCAAUAUACCUCAGCACAGAAUGCACCUGUCAUGGUUGAAUAUAUUUAUUACCUGUUAUGUAUUACAUUUAUAUAUGUGUGUGUGUGUGUGUGUGUGUGUGUGUGUGUGUGUAUGUAUGUAUAUAUAUAUAUUGUUAUUUUUGUAAUAUUGUACCCUAUUGUAACAAUGCAAUGUUUUGUGGACCAAUGACCCAUGACCUACUUGAAAACAAGAAAAAUCUCAAUGUAUCCAUCCUGGUAAAAUAUUUUAUAAAUAAAUAAAUAGGUAAUUAGGUAAACCACUGAAAAAGAAAAUGUCCCAUCAAUAAGGCUACACAUAUAUAAAAUGAUGGGGAAAGUUGUGCUCAUUUGGUAUCAAGAAUCUAACAAAAACAGAGGAGUUUACACUACUGGUAAUAAGAAAAAGACAAUGAGUUGUCAGUGCUGAUCGGCACUCAGAGGACUUUAUUGUGUAAACAGGGCGAUGAAGUGUAUUGAAAACAGAAAUGCUGAAUUUAGGCAGGGAGUGCAACUUGGCUAUUUUUGCUAAAUGUUUAAAUUUUUAUUUUUGCUGGUGUGCUUUUGCUAAAAAUUAGACAGCAAGUUUUUAUCUCUCUCUAGUGAGGCUCAAACAUUUUAACAUGAUGAAGGUAAAAAAGAAAAAUAAACAAGGCUCAGUGUUUACACUAUACAGUGUUUACUGCAUUGCUCAUUGUUUACACUAGAGAAAGCCUUGAGGAUCAGCAUUUACUCUAUAGAGUGCUGCAUCGCUCGCUGUUUACUUACUCUAUAGAGUGCUGCAUUGCUCUGUUUUUACUUACCACUCAGUGUUUACUUACUCUAUAGAGUGUUGCAUUGCUCAGUGUUUACUUACUCUAUAUAGUGCUGCAUCGUUCAGUGUUUACUUAUUCUAUGGAGUGCUGCAUUGCACAAUGUUUACUUACUCUAUAGAGUGCUGCAUCGUUCAGUGUUUACUUACUCUAUAUAGUACUGCAUCGUUCAGUGUUUACUUAUUCAAUAGAAUGCUGAUUUGCUCAGUGUUUACUUACUCUAUAGAGUGCUGCAUCACUCAGUGUUUACUUACUCUAUAGAGUGCUGCUUUGCUCAAUGUUUACUUACUCUAUAGAGUGCUGCAUUGCUCUGUGUUUACUUACUCUAUAGUGUGCUGCAUUGCUCAGUGUUUGCUUACUCUACAGAGUGCUGCUUUGCUCAAUGUUUACUUACUCUAUAGAGUGCUGCUUUGCUCAAUGUUUACUUACUCUAUAGAGUGCUGCUUUGCUCAGUGUUUACUCUAUAGAGUGCUGCAUUGCUCUGUGUUUACUUACUCUAUAGAGUGCUGCUUUGCUCAAUGUUUACUUACUCUAUAGAGUGCUGCAUUGCUCUGUGUUUACUUACUCUAUAGAGUGCUGCAUUGCUCAGUGUUUGCUUACUCUACAGAGUGCUGCUUUGCUCAAUGUUUACUUACUCUAUAGAGUGCUGCUUUGCUCAGUGUUUACUCUAUAGAGUGCUGCAUUGCUCUGUGUUUACUUACUCUAUAGAGUGCUGCAUUGCUCAGUGUUUGCUUACUCUACAGAGUGCUGCUUUGCUCAAUGUUUACUUACUCUAUAGAGUGCUGCUUUGCUCAGUGUUUACUCUAUAGAGUGCUGCAUUGCUCUGUGUUUACUUACUCUAUAGAGUGCUGCUUUGCUCAGUGUUUACUUACACUAUAGAGUGCUGCAUCACUCAGUGUUUACUCUAUAGAGUGCUGCAUCACUCAGUGUUUACUUACUCUAUAGAGUGCUGCAUUGCUCAGUGUUUACUUACUCUAUAGAGUGCUGCAUUGUUCAGUGUUUACUUACUCUAUAGAGUGCUGCAUCACUCAGUGUUUACUUACUCUAUAGAGUGCUGCAUUGCACAGUGUUUGCUUAAUCUAGAGAGUGCUGCAUUGCUCUGUGUUUACUUACUCUAUAGAGUGCUGCAUUGCUCUGUGUUUACUUACUCUAUAGAGUGCUGCUUUGCUCAAUGUUUACUUACUCUAUAGAGUGCUGCAUUGCUCGGUGUUUACUUACUCUAUAGAGUGCUGCUUUGCUCAGUGUUUACUUACUCUAUAGAGUGCUGCAUUGCUCUGUGUUUACUUACUCUAUAGAGUGCUGCAUUGCUCUGUGUUUGCUUACUCUAUAGAGUGCUGCUUUGCUCAGUGUUUACUCUAUAGAGUGCUGCAUCACUCAGUGUUUACUUGCUCUAUAGAAAGCUGCAUUGUUCAGUGUUUACUUACUUUAUAGAGUGCUGCAUUGCUCUGUGUUUACUUACUCUAUAAAGUGCUGCAUCACUCAGUGUUUACUUUAUAGAGUGCUGCAUUGCUCAGUGUUUAGGUACUCUAUAGAGUGCUGCAUUGCACAGUGUUUGCUUACUCUAUAGAGUGCUGCAUCGCUUUGUGUUUACUUACUCCAUAGAGUGCUGCAUCGCUCAGUGUUUACUUACUCUAUAGAGUGCUGCCUUGCACAGUGUUUGCUUACUCUAUAGAGUGCUGCAUCGCUCUGUGUUUACUUACUCUAUAGAGUGCUGCAUUGCUCAGUGUUUACGUACUCUAUAGAGUGCUGCAUCGCACAGUGUUUACUUACUCUAUAGAGUGCUGCAUUGCUCAGUGUUUACUUACUCUAUAGAGUGCUGCAUCGCUCAGUGUUUACUUACUCUAUAGAGUGCUGCAUUGCUCAGUGUUUACGUACUCUAUAGAGUGCUGCAUUGCACAGUGUUUACUUACUCUAUAGAGUGCUGCAUUCCACAGUGUUUGCUUACUCUAUAGAGUGCUGCAUCGCUCUGUGUUUACUUACUCUAUAGAGUGCUGCAUUGCUCAGUGUUUGCUUACUCUAUAGAGUGCUGCAUCGCACAGUGUUUACUUACUCUAUAGAGUGCUGCAUUGCUCAGUGUUUACUUACUCUAUAGAGUGCUGCAUUGCUCAGUGUUUACGUACUCUAUAGAGUGCUGCAUCGCACAGUGUUUACUUACUCUAUAGAGUGCUGCAUUGCUCAGUGUUUACUUACUCUAUAGAGUGCUGCAUUGCUCAGUGUUUACGUACUCUAUAGAGUGCUACAUUGCACAGUGUUUACUUACUCUAUAGAGUGCUGCAUCGCUCAGUGUUUACUUACUCUAUAGAGUGCUGCAUCGCACAGUGUUUACUUACUCUAUAGAGUGCUGCAUCACUCAGUGUUUACUUACUCCAUAGAGUGCUGCAUCACUCAGUGUUUAUUUACUCACUCUAUAGAGUGCUGCAUCACUCAGUGUUUACUUACUCCAUAGAGUGCUGCAUCACUCAGUGUUUAUUUACUCACUCUAUAGAGUGCUGCAUUGCUCAGUGUUUACUUACUCCAUAGAGUGCUGCAUCACUCAGUGUUUACUUACUCUAUAGAGUAAUGUGUUGCUCAGUGUUUACACUAGAGAGAGCAUCUAGUGUUUUGGGGGGUUUGGUGUUUUUUUUUUGGGGGGGGGGAGGUUUGUUUUGUUUUUUGCUGCUUUUGCACAGAUAUAAAACAUAUAAAUAUGGUAGCUUGUACCAAAUAGCAUUCACUGCAUUAUUUAUCAUUGAGUAGGAAAGGUCCCAUUAAAGAUUUAAUGUAAGCAUUUGUUGAAGAUUUUACAUGUACAAUCUAUACAUUACCUAUGUAUAUACACAUAAAAGUGUUUUGGAUGACAGGUACAUUUUACAAAGUUUUCCAGAUGAGAUUACGGCAGUGACAUCAUUAUAUCUCAAUUCAAAAGUGGUAGAGGAAAAACAUUAGCGCUGAGGGGCUGGAUUGGUAGAGAUGGACAGGACUAUAAUUUAAACAACUCAAAAAACCUGCCUGGGUAUAUUUAAAAAAAAAAAAAAAAGAAACAGAACUGUAUCACAUAGAAAACUAAAUUUCAAACGAUCUUAUGGGUUUGGGGUUAUGUAGUUUGCAAUUCUAAACAAUUUUGUUUUUGGUGAAUAAACUCGAAAAAGUUCUGCAUUUUACUAAGAGAGUUACACAAUUCUUGGUAACAAUAUUUAUUAUGCUUAUCAAUGUGAAAAUUUGAUAUCUACUUUUCUAGCCUCCAUAUUGUAGCGAUGUAUUAUUCAAUGAAAUAUCGAACAUAUGAAAACCACUACAAACAUUAACACCACUUAUGUAUUGUACCCAGGUGGACAAGAGGACUCGAAAUUGUCCCUCUGGACCUGUAGGAACCAGCAAGGCUACUGCCGACGAUACUGCUUCAGAGCUGAGAUUUUUAUGGGUGCCUUUGGCUGUCCUCCAAAAUUUAGGUAUUCUUGGUUGAUAGCACUUUUUAAAAAUAAUUUUACAAAAUAAACCAAGACUUGUCUCUCUAUUCUCAAUGUAAAAACAGUUAAAACAAGCAAAAGAAAAAACAAAGGAACACUAGCAUGUAUGCCUUGAAUGGAAAAGACAAAGGCCAUGGAUCAUAUAAUAUAAAAUACCUUUAGUACAAAUAUGUUUAAAAAAUAGUGCAAACAAUUAGUGCAAAUAAUAUCUUUUAAUCUUUCUUUCUGUAAAGGUGUUGUGUGCCUAUGACAUAAUGCCCAAUUUGAAGGAGCCACCAUAUCACCAUCAAGUCCAAUGGCAAUAAAAUCAGAAGUCUAUCAACGAGGGAAGACCUUUUUUAUCCAAGAGGGUCAAAUGUGUAUUGCAAUACGUGUGCCAGGUUACCAGGUUAAUGUACAAUCCUGCAAAAAUGUGAAUAUACAGAAAAAUAUUUUUGCUUGAAUAUUUAUUAAAGAUUUAUUCAUAUGUGUGGUAAUUUUAUUACAAAAGUGUACAUAAACUAAUACACUUAUUAAACUAUUGUUUUUUUCACUUUAGCAAUGGUAAAAUAUAGUAUUUCAAAGGCCAUGUUUUUGGGGGCUUACUGAACACUUGAUGACAUC